GUUUUCUUUUAAAAGAUGGCUCUGCUAUCACUUCUGGAUGGACCCGCGGCGCAUUAGCUAGUUGGUGAGGUAACGGCUCACCAAGGCGAUGAUGCGUAGCCGACCUGAGAGGGUAAUCGGCCACAUUGGGACUGAGACACGGCCCAGACUCCUACGGGAGGCAGCAGUAGGGAAUCUUCCACAAUGGACGCAAGUCUGAUGGAGCAACGCCGCGUGAGUGAAGAAGGGUUUCGGCUCGUAAAGCUCUGUUGUUAAAGAAGAACGUGGGUGAGAGUAACUGUCACCCAGUGACGGUNUACC
rnacentral:rRNA from 1 species